GUUGAACAGCUGCGGGAGGAAGAAGGAUUUGGCUAAUUCUCUGCGAAGCAAAAACUCCUGCUCCACCUCUUCCCUCAUUCUGACCUACAGUGAGCAAUGUGGUUGGCAAACGCUGUGGAAAAAUCUAGAAGAGAUCUCAGCUUAGCAUUUGCUAACAAAGAAAGUGGACCUGCGAUGGGAGCGCCCAGACCCGAGCUGUGGGAAUGGAGGGUGACCCCGGUGCACGGCAACUUCUACAGGCUGCUAAGGCAGGCGCACUGCAGAAAGAGCGCCCAGGCCCUCAAAACAACAGAGCAAAGAAGGAGAGCUCUCACUUGUUUCCAUUUUCCAGUUUUCUCUACCGAGGACAUGUGAGUUUGCAGGGGGAGCCUUCUUUCCUGAAGUUCCAGUUGCUGUGGAGCCCUGACCAUAGCGACAAAGCCAUUAAGAUGGAUCUAGCUCAUUUGUGUCGUAGCACUUGUCCAGGCAUUUCCGUUUUCGUGGGAACUAUCCGACUGCUCUGGAUGAACAGAAACAGUCUCCACAGAGACUCCCGCAGUGCGGCAUAGUGCCGCACACUGAGGGCAGAGGGGUGGAGAGCUCCCGCACGGCCUUCUGGGAAGUCGUUCUGCGGCAGGAGAGAGGCACCCCCUGCCAGGGGCAAGGUGGACUAAGUGCCCACAAGGCAUAUCAGGUGAGAGGAAUGACUGCCGGGACUGUUGGCUAUCCUGCCCAUUCGCAACCUGGGUGGUACCCUCUUUCCUCAAACCUGGACUAUCCUGAGCAAGUUGCUAGACUUCAGCGUGAGUGGUGUGCCACUAAGGGCCAGGCCCAGAACUCUCCCUGGGUUCUCUGUCCCAUUGCUUCAGGGAGAUGGCUUCUUGGUACCCACCUCACUUUCUUGUAGGAAGAUAGCCACAGCCUGAGUGGCCACUGACUGUGAGCACAGCUGGAUGCUGUGUGAUCCUAUGUGUAUGGGGUAGGCCAACCACUAACUGAAACAACAGUGUGAGGCUUCCCCAUCUUACCGUAUGUUCCUCAUGAAUACCGUAAACCAGGAAGCUUGGACAAUGUUAAUUCCAUUUGAAGAAAAUAAAAACAUGUUUCAAAA